GACAUCAGAUAGCGAUAGUCCUUUUGCCAAGUAGAACAGAAAUGGAACCUUAAGGUGGUAGCUGGUUGGUAACACCCGGCGUUUCUGGGCGAAGCACGAUAAAUAUUACACGUUCAAGAAACAUUAGGCUUGCUCCCCUGACUGUCGAGCCCACCUACAAAGAUGGCUCCCAUAAGGGGCUGUACUAGAUACAUACGUAUAGCGUAUAUCAUUAUCGUGCCAUUCCAAAUACGCAACAGUUGCUCAUUGACGUGAUAAAAAUAUAAGAAACAUAAAACAAUCAAAAAAUUGAUUGAACAAAUGAACAAAUAAAUAAAUAAGCAAAAAACGCCACUAAAUCUAACCUUAAGUACGAAUGUUAAAUUUGUUUUUUUUUUUUCUAAGUCAACAAUCGUCGGUUUAAGCGAAGAUGACCGAAGCGCACUAAACUAAUUCCUCAACCAUAGUCGGUUUUUUCUUGUUCUUGUUGAGGCUGAUUCAAGAUGUAUAAAAUAAAUAAAACAUAGAAGCUAAACGAAACAAAGAUUUGAAAAAAAAAAAAUUAAUAUAAAA